UACAGAGGUCUCAAGCGUUGUUCGGAUUCAUUGGGCGUAAAGGGUGCGUAGGUGGUGAUGCAAGUCCGGUGUGAAGUCUCGGAAGCUCAACUCCGAAUUGCAACCGGAUACUGCGUGACUCGAGGACUGUAGAGGAGAUCGGAAUUCAGCGGUGUAGCAGUGGAAAUGCGUAGAUAAUCGUGAGGAAGACCAGUUGCGAA
rnacentral:rRNA from 1 species